AGAGUUUGAUCCUGGCUCAGGAUGAACGCUAGCGGCAGGCAUAAUACAUGCAAGUUGAGGGAGCAGCAAUGCUACCGGCGCACGGGUGCGUAACGCGUAUGCACCUGGCCCAGUCUGGGGGACAGCCCCGGGAACCGGGAUUAAUACCCCAUGGCCUGUAGGUGUGGCAUCACACUUAUAGUAAAGAUUUAUCGGACUGGGAUGGGCAUGCGUCUGAUUAGCUAGAUGGCGGGGUAACGGCCCACCAUGGCUUCGAUCAGUAGGGGGUCUGAGAGGAUGGUCCCCCACACGGGCACUGAGACACGGGCCCGACUCCUACGGGAGGCAGCAGUAGGGAAUAUUGGGCAAUGGAGGCAACUCUGACCCAGCCAUGCCGCGUGCAGGAAGAAGGCCCUCAGGGUUGUAAACUGCUUUAGAAGAGGAAGAAUAAGCAUCUCGUGCAGAUGUGAUGACGGUACUCUUAGAAUAAGCACCGGCUACUACGUGCCAGCAGCCGCGGUAAUACGUAGGGUGCGAGCGUUGUCCGGAUUUAUUGGGUUUAAAGGGUGCGUAGGCGGGCUUUUAAGUCAGCGUUCAAAAACGGCAGCUCAACUGUCGGCCGGGCGUUGAUACUGAAAGCCUUGAGACCAUUGGGGGCAGCCGGAAUUUGUGGUGUAGCGGUGAAAUGCUUAGAUACCACAAGGAACACCGAUCGCGAAGGCAGGCUCCACGCUGGAUCUGACGCUGAGGCACGAAAGCGUGGGGAGCAAACAGGAUUAGAUACCCUAGUAGUCC
rnacentral:rRNA from 1 species